rnacentral:rRNA from 1 species
AACGGAGGUGAGGGGCAACUCUCACUUCAGUGGCGAACGGGUGAGUAAUGCAUCGGAACGUAUCCGCAAGUGGGGGACAACCCGGCGAAAGCCGGGCUAAUACCGCAUAUUGCUCGCAAGAGGAAAGUGGGGGACCUGAAAGGGCCUCACGCUUACGGCGCGGCCGAUGUCCGAUUAGCUAGUUGGCGGGGUAAAGGCCCACCAAGGCAGCGAUCGGUAGCUGGUCUGAGAGGAUGAUCAGCCACACUGGGACUGAGACACGGCCCAGACUCCUACGGGAGGCAGCAGUGGGGAAUUUUGGACAAUGGGCGCAAGCCUGAUCCAGCCAUGCCGCGCGCGGGAAGAAGGCCUUCGGGUUGUAAACCGCUUUUAGCCGGGACGAAAAGGCCACGGAUAACACCCGUGGUUAUUGACGGUACCGGCGGAAUAAGCACCGGCUAACUACGUGCCAGCAGCCGCGGUAAUACGUAGGGUGCGAGCGUUAAUCGGAAUUACUGGGCGUAAAGCGUGCGCAGGCGGUUCGUUAAGUUCGUUGUGAAAGCCCCGGGCUCAACCUGGGAACGGCAAUGGA